rnacentral:rRNA from 1 species
CCCUUAGAGUUUGAUCCUGGCUCAGAUUGAACGCUGGCGGCAUGCCUUACACAUGCAAGUCGAACGGUAACAGGUCUUCGGAUGCUGACGAGUGGCGAACGGGUGAGUAAUACAUCGGAACGUGCCCGAUCGUGGGGGAUAACGGAGCGAAAGCUUUGCUAAUACCGCAUACGAUCUACGGAUGAAAGCAGGGGACCGCAAGGCCUUGCGCGGACGGAGCGGCCGAUGGCAGAUUAGGUAGUUGGUGGGAUAAAAGCUUACCAAGCCGACGAUCUGUAGCUGGUCUGAGAGGACGACCAGCCACACUGGGACUGAGACACGGCCCAGACUCCUACGGGAGGCAGCAGUGGGGAAUUUUGGACAAUGGGCGAAAGCCUGAUCCAGCCAUGCCGCGUGCAGGAUGAAGGCCUUCGGGUUGUAAACUGCUUUUGUACGGAACGAAAAGACUCCUUCUAAUAAAGGGGGUCCAUGACGGUACCGUAAGAAUAAGCACCGGCUAACUACGUGCCAGCAGCCGCGGUAAUACGUAGGGUGCAAGCGUUAAUCGGAAUUACUGGGCGUAAAGCGUGCGCAGGCGGUUAUAUAAGACAGAUGUGAAAUCCCCGGGCUCAACCUGGGAACUGCAUUUGUGACUGUAUAGCUAGAGUACGGUAGAGGGGGAUGGAAUUCCGCGUGUAGCAGUGAAAUGCGUAGAUAUGCGGAGGAACACCGAUGGCGAAGCAAUCCCCUGGACCUGUACUGACGCUCAUGCACGAAAGCGUGGGGAGCAAACAGAUAGAUACCCUGGUAGUCCACGCCCUAAACGAUGUCAACUGGUUGUUGGGUCUUCACUGACUCAGUACGAA